rnacentral:rRNA from 1 species
GAUGAACGCUGGCGGCGUGCUUAACACAUGCAAGUCGAACGGAAAGGCCCAAGCUUGCUUGGGUACUCGAGUGGCGAACGGGUGAGUAACACGUGGGUGAUCUGCCCUGCACUUCGGGAUAAGCCUGGGAAACUGGGUCUAAUACCGGAUAGGACCACUUCUUGGAUGUUGUGGUGGAAAGUUUUUUCGGUGUGGGAUGAGCUCGCGGCCUAUCAGCUUGUUGGUGGGGUAAUGGCCUACCAAGGCGUCGACGGGUAGCCGGCCUGAGAGGGUGUACGGCCACAUUGGGACUGAGAUCCGGCCCAGACUCCUACGGGAGGCAGAAGUGGGGAAUAUUGCACAAUGGGCGCAAGCCUGAUGCAGCGACGCCGCGUGGGGGAUGACGGCCUUCGGGUUGUAAACUCCUUUCGCUAGGGACGAAGCGUUUUGUGACGGUACCUGGAGAAGAAGCACCGGCUAACUACGUG